rnacentral:rRNA from 1 species
UGGGGAAUAUUGCACAAUGGGCGCAAGCCUGAUGCAGCAACGCCGCGUGAACGAUGAAGGUCUUCGGAUCGUAACGUUCUGUUGCAGGGGAAGAUAAUGACGGUACCCUGUGAGGAAGCCCCGGCUAACUACGUGCCAGCAGCCGCGGUAAUACGUAGGGGGCUGGCGUUAUCCGGAUUUACUGGGCGUAAAGGGUGCGUAGGUGGUCUUUCAAGUCGGUGGUUAAAGGCUACGGCUCAACCGUAGUUAGCCUCCGAAACUGGAAGACUUGAGUGCAGGGGAGGAGAGUGGAAUUCCCAGUGUGGCGGUGAGAUGCGUAGAGAUUGGGAGGAACACAAGUAGCGAAGGCGGCUUUCUGGACUGCAACUGACACUGAGGCACGAAAGCGUGGGUAGCAAACAGG